AAAUGUAUAGUUCCAGUGGCUUAUUGUUGUUGAAUUUUUAAUACAAGUGACAGAAUAUUUUAUUUUUUUUAAAUACUUUCUUAUACCGGCCAUUUCCGUAUACAGAGUGGAUCACGGGAAUAUAUUAUAGUGGUGAAAACAGAUGAAUAUAAUUUAGGACAUUUUAGACGCACAACUAUUUUGUUUUUAUUUUUUGGUAGGAAAAGUGCCAUUUUAAGUUUUAAAAACAACAUAAUCGAGCGUAUGACGACCACCUUGUUCCUAGAACAAAGCAAGUCGAAUUUGUCGUGGAUUUCUUUGUAACUACAAAUCAGUCAUUUUAGCGCUAUGCAGCGCGUCCUUCGUGGAGACUUUUCAGAGUAUAUAAUAUAGAAGCAGAAUUUGCUCGUUCGCAAAACCAUUAAAAUUUAAAAUGCCUUUCAUCAAUCAUUAUCAUUAGAGUAUCAUCAUUUAUCUCGAAUAAAGAGAACGUCCUCUACGGCUAAUUCAUUAGUUUUAGAUUUAUAGUUUUCUCAUAAAUAUGUCGUGAUAUGGUGGUAACUAAACAGGAUUGUCUGACAAACCAAACGAGUUCUUUCAGAACUCCCCGCU